GUGUCUUUCACCUCCAAGUUCAUCCUUUUCCCCCCUGCGCUCUUUCUCCUCUCUCCUCUCCUGUCAUUCCAUGUCCAAGUUUCUCCAUGCGCUGCCUGCUUUCAUUUCUGCAGUGGUUCCCUUGCAACCACCGCGUGCUGAGUGCCUAUGAGCUGGUCACCCAGGUUGCUGAAUCCUUUCCUGAAAAGGGAAUAGUCGGAGGCGUCCCUUGACUUGUGUCUCCAGGAAACAAGUGUCGCAGCUUGGACUGGCCAUCAGAGGCUGCAGCCCUGAACUCUGCGAAACAGGAAAUAUGGGAUUUUUUUUUCUCUGUGAUAAGCGAAGCACACGCUCCCCAUUCCCUCCUGUGCUGCGUGCACCGGCAGGAGCCGCCACCCGCUCCGCACACCUCCCGGGCGAGCCACUCACGGCUUUGUCCCGUGCCCCGCUCCAGCCAUGCAGCACCUGCCCCAGCCCCACUCCCUCCCUGCGGUUGUGCGCGCUCCUGUGGGAGCUUGGUGUGGAAAUGUGUGUGCAGACAGGGUGCUGGUUGUGGGAAGCCGCGUGGUGCUUUGGAAGUGUCCGCGGGACGGGGGUGAGGCGAUUAUGUGAGGGGAUGUAGGAACUUUUUGUGAAAGAAGUGUGGAAAUACGGUGAGAGCGGUGCGGCAAACCGGUGCUGUGUUAAGGUGGUAAAGCCGGGGGCAGGACGGUGGCUUUCUUGUGCGGCAAACGGGUGAUCUUGCGGCGGGGCGAAGGAGAAGGACACGCUGCCUGGCCGGACUCGUGGCCCCCGGGGCCGGGCAGACGGGCGGUGGCGGCUGCGGACAGUGCUGCGCCGCGGGGCGGGCUCAGCCCUCAGCGUCUCCCGCCCGGCUGAGGCAGGUUCACCCCCGGCGCGCAGCAGAGGGGGCGGGGCCAAGCUGGGCGGGAGGCGCCCGAGUGGCUGUGUGUCAGGGAAAGACUGCGGGGAAGCCUACCUGUGAGCAGAGCUGGGCUGCCACACACAACAGCGGACCGUCCUCGUUGGAUCAAGUGGUUUGAGCCGCUGCCCUCUUUCAUUUCUGCAGCGGUUCUCUUGUCACUGCCGCGUGCUGAGUGCCUAGGAGCUGGUCACCCGGGAUGCUGAAUCCCUUGCUGAAAAGGGAUUAGUGGCAGGUGUUCCUUGACUCGCUCUCCGGGAGUCAAGUGUUGGAGACUGGGCUGCAGCCUCAGGUGGCGGGUCCACAAUCCUGCAAAGCAGUCAAUGCACAUCGCCCCCGGAAGGACAAGCAGACAAGAUGGCAGGCGAGUAGCAGUGAGCUGACCAUGAGGGAAGAAAACCAGGCCAGCCUAACAGGAGGCAAAGAUUCACCUUCAAAGACCUGUGUCCAAAGUAGAGGUGACGGGGAAGAACACAACGGUGCUUUCAGAGAGCAGCUGUCGCAGCAACACCUCACCCAGCAGCAUGCGUACCAAUUGCUCAGGAUGAAAUGGCACUUUCUCUUGGCUAUGCUGCAUCUAUGGAGGCAACAGUGCAUGGGGAUUCUGUGGUGUCUGGCACUGACGAGCAGAUGCAGAACUCAGCUGAGGCAUCCCAGUUGCUGGAAG